rnacentral:rRNA from 1 species
AACGUACGCUGGCGGCACGCCUAACACAUGCAAGUCGAACGAAGUAGCAAUACUUAGUGGCAGACGGGUGAGUAACAUGUAGGUAUCUACCCUUUGGCCUGGAAUAACACGAGGAAACUUGUGCUAAUACCGGAUAAGUCUUUACGGAGAAAGCUUUAUGCACCAUUGGAUGAGCCUGCACUUGAUUAGUUUGUUGGUGGGGUAAUGGCCUACCAAGACUGUGAUCAAUAGCUGAUUUGAGAGGAUGAUCAGCCACAUUGGGACUGAGACACGGCCCAAACUCCUACGGGAGGCAGCAGUGGGGAAUCUUGCACAAUGGAGGAAACUCUGAUGCAGCGAUGCCGCGUGAGUGAAGAAGGCCUUUGGGUUGUAAAGCUCUUUCGUCGGGGAAGAAAAUGACUGUACCCGAAUAAGAAGGUCCGGCUAACUUCGUGCCAGCCGCCGCCGUAACAC